AUAGCUCAGUUGUCUGUACACCUUGAAUGCCCAGAAUUUACUCCAAAAUUAAUUAUUUGCUGUUGAGAGUCUCAGAGUGCUGGACAGCAGCUCUACCUAGACAUCUGAAGAUUCAGCAAAAAGGGGAUUUGAAUGCAUACAUCUAGGAGAGCCGGGAGAGCUAUAUAAGAGUAACAGAGUAGCUGAUGAGGCUGUUGGAUACAGAGACCUGGGACAUCCAGCGUGGUGCCAAGAACUUGUGCCCUCCAAACUCAGCUGAAGACAAGCAUCUGGUAUUUGAUAUCAUCCCCAGAUGGAUCACUAGUGCCAUGCGCACAGUGCAGCUGUCCAUCUCUGGCACUCAGGGAGGAUGGGGAAUGUAACAACAGUAAAGCCCUAUUCAGACAUUAUGUUGUGCCUGCCAUCAGAUGUCUGAAUCCAGGUUCCAAAGCAGUUUACAUCGAGAAAUAAGAAAGAAAGAAAGAAAGAAAGAAAGAAAGAAAGAAAGAAAGAAAGAAAGAAAGAUGGAUCCAUGUCCCCGAAGGGCUCACAAUCUAAGAAGAAACAUGAUAGACACCAGCAACAGUCACUGGAGGUACUGUGCGGGAGGUGGAUAAGGCUACUUACUCUCCCCCCUGCUAAAUAGAAGAGAAUCACCAUGUUAAAAAGGUGCCUCUUUGCCCAGUUGGCAGGGGUUACUUGCCAUACAUGUACUUGUCCCUUUAUUCCAUGACUGCUACAUUUCCUCAAGGCUCUUUGAUGAGGAACUUUGUUGAAAGCUUUUUGGAAGUCCAGGUAUACUAUGUCAACCAGAUCACCUUUAUCCACACACUUGUUGACACUCUCAAGAACUCCAAAAGGUUUGUGAGGCAAGAUUUACCUUUGCAGAAGCCAUUCUUGUUCUCCCCCAGCAGGGCCUGUUCUUCUAUGUGCUUAACAAUUUUAGCCUUGAGAAUGUUUUCCAUCAUUUUGCCUGGAACAAACAUUAAGCUAACCGGCCUGUAAUUUCCUGGAUUGCCCCUGAAUCCCUUUUUGAAAACUGGUGUUACAUUUGCUACUUUCCAGGUCCCCAGUACAGAGCUCGAUUGUAGGGAUAAGUUAUAUAUUUUUGCAAGGAGGUCGGCAAUUUCACAUUUGAGUUCCACCCUUGGAUGGAUGCCGUCUGGUCCUGGCGAUUUGCUAGUUUUUAAUUUUUCCAGUUUAGAACAUCAUCUCCUGUAAAAAGCCUGGAUCAGGAACAGGUAUAUGCUUAGUAUUUUCUGCCAUGAAGUAUUUUCUGCCAUGAUGCAAAGAACUCAUUAGCUUCUGCGCAACCUCCAUAUCCUCCUUAAUAAUCCACUCCCUCAUUGUCUAAUGGUCCAACCGCCUCCCUGGUUUGUUUCCUUCUUCUGAUGUAUUUAAAGAAGUUUUUGUUAUCCCCCUUGAUGCUUUUAGCUAAAUGUACGUCUCUUUUUGACUCACUUAUUGUCACCUUGCAUUUCUUUUGCCAGAGUUUGUGUUCCUGUCUGUUCUCUUCAUUUGGACAGGCCUUCCAGUUUUGGAAGGAAGUCUUCUUCUCCUUUAUGGCAUCCUUGACUUUACCUGUUAGCCAUGCUGGCAUCCUCCUGGACUUAGUGGUACCUUUCCUCCUUUUUUGGUAUACAUUCUAACUGGGCUUCUACUAUUGUGGUUUUGAGUAAACUCCAUGCAUUCUGGAGUGAAGUGACUCUCUCAAUUUUCCCUUUCAGUUUUCUUUUCACCAUACUCCUCAUUUGGGAGAAGUUUCCUCUUCAGAAAUUCAAAGUGUCUGUGUUAGACUUCCUUGGUGAU